rnacentral:lncRNA from 1 species
GCAAGUAUUUUAUUUUUUUUACUUUUGGUGAUGGGCAUCACCGUUGGUUGGUGAUCCAUCAGUGAUGACCGUAGGCAGAGCAACUCCAAGAGCUCCCUUUUAUUAACCCCAAUACCUCAAUUCGGGAGAAAUGGAAAAAAAAAGACUCCAACAGCUCCCCUAAACAUCCUGCAAAUAUUCAGGGUCGCGAAUACUUCCCCAUCGCCACGCAUAUAUCCGUCGGCCCCGGUCUUCCCCAAUCACCCUCUCGCCCUGCCUCUUUCUUGCACGCUGCUCCUUUGCUAGCACGGCAGCUAGUCUCUCCGACCUGCAUGACGACAUGCUCGAGCGCGUCCUCCCCGUCUCCCGCCAGCGAGCUGAGGAAUCCUGCCUCGAUCCGUGGCCGGCCGGGCUGGAGACAUUGUCGGUGCUAGUGAUGCUGGUUCUGCUGCAUUUCUUGAGGGGCCGCCUGUCGCUGUUCCUUCGCAUGGCCUUGCGGAUUACUGCCGCCUCCUCCUCCUCCUGCUCCUCUUGUUGGCUGCUGCAGGAGGGAUGGCUGGACGGCGCAGGUGAGUUGGAUUUCUCGAUUCUCUAUUCUUACAUGUUUGGGUUUUGGUUUCUUGGAUUGUUGCCGGCUCUUCAAUUACAGGAUCGUUGGGUUCAAUCGCUU